UACGGAGACCUCGAGCGUUACUCGGAUUCACUGGGCGUAAAGGGUGCGAAGGCGGACAGGUGUGUCAGGUGUGAAAUCUCGGGGCUUAACUCCGAAACUGCGCCUGAAACUAUCUGUCUAGAGACUCGGAGGGGUAAGCGGAAUUCCAGGUGUAGCGGUGAAAUGCGUAGAUAUCUGGAGGAACACCAAAGGCGAAGGCAGCUUACUGGACGAGAUCUGACGCUAAAGUACGAAAGCGUGGGGAGCAAAAGGG
rnacentral:rRNA from 1 species